AGUGAACGCUGGCGGUAGGCCUAACACAUGCAAGUCGAACGGCAGCACAGGAGAGCUUGCUCUCUGGGUGGCGAGUGGCGGACGGGUGAGGAAUACAUCGGAAUCUACUCUGUCGUGGGGGAUAACGUAGGGAAACUUACGCUAAUACCGCAUACGACCUACGGGUGAAAGCAGGGGAUCUUAGGACCUUGCGCGAUUGAAUGAGCCGAUGUCGGAUUAGCUAGUUGGCGGGGUAAAGGCCCACCAAGGCGACGAUCCGUAGCUGGUCUGAGAGGAUGAUCAGCCACACUGGAACUGAGACACGGUCCAGACUCCUACGGGAGGCAGCAGUGGGGAAUAUUGGACAAUGGGCGCAAGCCUGAUCCAGCCAUACCGCGUGGGUGAAGAAGGCCUUCGGGUUGUAAAGCCCUUUUGUUGGGAAAGAAAUCCAGCUGGCUAAUACCCGGUUGGGAUGACGGUACCCAAAGAAUAAGCACCGGCUAACUUCGUGCCAGCAGCAGCCGCGG
rnacentral:rRNA from 1 species